UGGGUAACCUGCCUCAAAGAGGGGAAUAGCCUCCCGAAAGGGAGAUUAAUACCGCAUAAUAUGUUUUAAUCGCAUGAUUUUAACAUCAAAGGAUUUUCUUCGGAACUUCCACUUUGAGAUGGACCCGCGGCGCAUUAGCUAGUUGGUGAGGUAACGGCUCACCAAGGCAACGAUGCGUAGCCGACCUGAGGAGGGUGAUCGGCCACAUUGGAACUGAGACACGGUCCAGACUCCGUAGGGAGG
rnacentral:rRNA from 1 species